CAUCAGAGACGUAACUUUGUACAGGGAAAUGUCAAGUGGGUGUGUCCAAGCUGCUGCGAAGUAACAGGACGUAGUAUUUGCAAACGAACAGGAGAAAACGAAAAUAAUAAUAUACCCACUGAGGAUGCUACAACUGAGGUGAACCAUGUUUGGGUGAUGAAGUAAAACAAUAAUUUGUGUGCUUACAAAAAGGUGGACUCAUCCUUAAUUCAUUAACAUUUUUCUGCAAAACACUGGAACUGAGUCCAAACUCAAAUAGGCCAAUGAUGUAAAUAGACUGUUGUAUUAUAGAAACUGAAACUCUCAGGAAUACCUGCAAUACUACCUUUACGACAUACUUCUCCAGUUGGCCAACUCUUAUUAAAGUUGCUGGGCAUAUAACUGAUGAACUGCAAGAGGAAAUUACCAACACAUGAAGACUUCAAAGGAUGGUCUAUGGACAAGUAUUCCACAGGGGAUACUCAGGAUCCACUAUUUUAUGUCUAUUAAUAAUCUUGUGUUACAUAUAUAUUUAUUGUAAAUGGUGUCGAAAUAGCGGUAAGAAAAUGUGUCGAGUAGCAAGUAUAGACUGUUGGGUCAGGAGAACUAAGAAAACUGAAUCCCUUUCUCCAAAACCAGAUUUCACACAAUUAUGCCCAAAGUGAUACAAUGUAGUGGUAAAAUAUUGACAUAUUUUGUGAAAAUAUGUAUAACACUGUUGAAAAUAAAGAAUGAUAGCAGUCAUAA